CUCUUGACAUCCAGAGAACUUGGCAGAGAUGCCCUCGGUGCCCUUCGGGAACUCUGAGACAGGUGCUGCAUGGGCUGUCGUCAGCUCGUGUUGUGAAAUGUUGGGUUAAGUCCGCAACGAGCGCAACCCCUAUCCUUUGUUGCCAGCGAUUCGGUCGGGAACUCAAAGGAGACUGCCGGUGAUAAACCGGAGGAAGGUGGGGAUGACGUCAAGUCAUCAUGGCCCUUACGAGUAGGGCUACACACGUGCUACAAUGGCGUAUACAAAGAGAAGCGACCUCGCGAGAGCAAGCGGACCUCAUAAAGUACGUCGUAGUCCGGAUUGGAGUCUGCAACUCGACUCCACGAAGUCGGAAUCGCUAGUAAUCGUAGAUCAGAAUGCUACGGUGAAUACGUUCCCGGGCCUUGUACACACCGCCCGUCACACCAUGGGAGUGGGUUGCAAAAGAAGUAGAUAGCUUAACCUUCGGGAGGGCGUUUACCACUUUGUGAUUCAUGACUGGGGUGAAGUCGUAACAAGGUAAGCGUACGUGU
rnacentral:rRNA from 1 species